GAUGAGCGCUGGCGGCGUGCCUAAUACAUGCAAGUCGAGCGAACAGAUGAGGAGCUUGCUCCUCUGACGUUAGCGGCGGACGGGUGAGUAACACGUGGAUAACCCACCUAUAAGACUGGGAUAACUUCGGGAAACCGGAGCUAAUACCGGAUAAUAUAUUGAACCGCAUGGUUCAAUAGUGAAAGACGGUUUUGCUGUCACUUAUAGAUGGAUCCGCGCCGCAUUAGCUAGUUGGUAAGGUAACGGCUUACCAAGGCAACGAUGCGUAGCCGACCUGAGAGGGUGAUCGGCCACACUGGAACUGAGACACGGUCCAGACUCCUACGGGAGGCAGCAGUAGGGAAUCUUCCGCAAUGGGCGAAAGCCUGACGGAGCAACGCCGCGUGAGUGAUGAAGGUCUUCGGAUCGUAAAACUCUGUUAUUAGGGAAGAACAAAUGUGUAAGUAACUAUGCACGUCUUGACGGUACCUAAUCAGAAAGCCACGGCUAACUACGUG
rnacentral:rRNA from 1 species